GCAUGAAUGGCUUGACGAGCGCCCUGCUGUCUCUCUUCCCAUGAACUUUUAAAUUAACUUUCGCGUGCAAAGGCGCGAAUGGCUGAGUUAGACGAAAAGACCCUAUGCAUCUUUACUGAGAGAGAAGAAAGUUCUUUAGCUUGGUUUAGCUGGGGCAGCUGAGGAAAAGGCAAAAUUUCCUUAAUAUAAAUCAUACUGGUGGGUUUAGAUCCAGGCUCUUUAGCGGGCUUGACAAGUAGAAAAGUUACGCUAGGGAUAACAGCGUUAUCCUUCUGUGGAGGUCUUAUCUGCAGGAGGGAUUGCGACCUCGAUGUUGAAUUAGGGAUAUACCAGAAAGGCGCAGAAGCUUUUAUUGUGGGUCUGU
rnacentral:rRNA from 1 species